rnacentral:rRNA from 1 species
GAUGAACGCUGGCGGCGUGCUUAACACAUGCAAGUCGAACGAAGCACUUUGGGCAGAUUCUUCGGAUGAAGUCCUUAGUGACUGAGUGGCGGACGGGUGAGUAACGCGUGGGUAACCUGCCUCAUACAGGAGGAUAACAGUUAGAAAUGGCUGCUAAUACCGCAUAAGCGCACAGUACCGCAUGGUACGGUGUGAAAAACUCCGGUGGUAUGAGAUGGACCCGCGUUGGAUUAGCUAGUUGGCAGGGUAACGGCCUACCAAGGCGACGAUCCAUAGCCGGCCUGAGAGGGUGGACGGCCACAUUGGGACUGAGACACGGCCCAGACUCCUACGGGAGGCAGCAGUGGGGAAUAUUGCACAAUGGGGGAAACCCUGAUGCAGCGACGCCGCGUGAGCGAAGAAGUAUUUCGGUAUGUAAAGCUCUAUCAGCAGGGAAGAAA